AAAAGUAGCCAGUCUUUUGGGUAUGAAACCCAUUUGGGCGAGAGUAGUACUAGGAUGGGUGACCUCCUGGGAAGUCCUCGUGAAAGGGUUUC
rfam:Triticum aestivum genome assembly, contig: Triticum_aestivum_CS42_TGACv1_scaffold_343500_4DL